rnacentral:tRNA from 1 species
GCCCCCGUGGUGGAAUUGGCAUACACGGCAGGUUGAGGGCCUGUGCCCUUUCGGGCGUGUCCGUUCGAGUCGGACCGGGGGCA